UAACUUGAGUGUCACAGGUUUGUUUCCCAUGGUCCCUGGGGGUGGUGGGCAACACCAUAUCUGCCCACAGGCAGGGCUGAUUGGACCAAUACCUGGAGCAAGGGCCUGAGAUA
rnacentral:snoRNA from 1 species